rnacentral:lncRNA from 1 species
UUUAUAUUUCUAGUACCUUUUCAUGUGGAUGCAUGUUGAGCCAUCUGAAUGUGGCUAUUAUCUUAUAUAUGUUGGUGUUGGACUUUCGUAGAUGGCUACAAUCUUUUCUUUUCGGGCAGGCUACAAUCUUAUAUAUGCUUGUUCUCAACUUUCUUAGAUGGUACAAUCUCAGUGGCAGCAACAUUACGACGUACUAGUUCAUAACAAAUAGGUAGGUAAAAAGUAAAAUCGGAUUACAAGCUAGCAACCAUAUGUUCAACAUUUGUCGAUCUCACUCCUUUUGUUCGGUGGCAACACACCUGGCAUCAAUAAUAUCAAUGAAGAUGAGUUAAGCGGGCUUCGCAUCAUCUUCUGGAACAGCAGGCGAGCUCGAAAGUGCCUCUGGCGAAGAAGGGUCGGAUGUCUCCUCCCAGUCUACAGCUUCAGACGUGCCAGUGCUAGCUUGCAGCUCAUUUGGAUAUAAUCUCUUUUGUAAGUAUUUACGGCGGGUUAUGACAUGAUGCCAGCACAUAGCAUAGCCGGGGUGUGCAAGCUUGAGGCAAAACCACCCUUUGCCAUUACUCCGGUUACACCGCCGCACUCCUUCCGUGAUUUUCACUGGCUCGUAAAAGAACUCCUCUAGUGGCUCAUCACCUUCUUCGUUGUCUAGCACAUCAACAUCUUCUUCCAUAUCUUGCGCUUCAUGAGCACUAGCAUAUCCAAGUACAAAACCAAAGAAACAGUAUAAAAAUACAUAAUCAACAUAGAAUGUACAUACAUAUCAUAGCCAACAAGCACAAAAGCUAAAGUACAGAAAUUGAAAACACAUGCGUAAGCAUACCAUUGAUGCCGUCACGACGGAUCGAAGCUAGAGGUUCAGAUGAAUUAGUAUGUCUCUAUGUCUAUAAGUUGAUCAAUAACUUGAUAUUUAUAAAGAGAUGAUCCUGUAUGUUGAUCCACUCCUAUGUAUAAUUACACUAAAAAUGUUUCUGCAGCAUAGCGGAUAGCGUAUCUACCAGCAACCAUGAAAUAGGAAGUUGUAAGUUUGCAACAAACGGAAUCGUAUAUGCAUACAGAAAAAAAAACUACGCUGAAAGAAGCAUCCUACAAUUUUGCAAUCUGGGUUGACGACGCAGAUCUAGUUACUGAUUACUGAGAAAUUAACAAUGCACAUGCACAUACAAGCAUGCCGAAACACGGUGUUUAUGCCAGAUUACCAACGCCAAAACAAGUUUCUGCAGAGAUAUCGACUAGUACCAAUAACAAAAUGGCUAAUGGGUGGGACUACCCGAAGUUAAAGGGAAGUGUUAAUGCCCAGCUAUAUGCUGAAUACAAGGGUCCGAUCAUGAUGUACGCAUCUAAUCAGACAAUUCUGAUAAAUCAUUUUGUGACUUCGUGCUUAUGUGUAUGGGGCCUAAUAUCUAGCUAGGCAUGUACAUGGUCUCUGUAAUCCACGUCUAAUCAAGAACAUAUAACGGUGGUGUAGCACAAGUACCUGGACUCUAUCAGGCCAGUAGUCGCCACCAGAGUCUUGUCAGAAGAAUCCU